UACGGAGGGUGCAAGCGUUAAUCGGAAUUACUGGGCGUAAAGCGCGCGUAGGUGGUUUGGUAAGUCGGGUGUGAAAGCCCUGGGCUCAACCUGGGAAUUGCAUUCGAUACUGCCUGACUAGAGUGUGGUAGAGGGAAGUGGAAUUCCGCAUGUAGCGGUGAAAUGCGUAGAGAUGCGGAGGAACACCAAUGGCGAAGGCAACUUCCUGGACCAACACUGACACUGAGGUGCGAAAGCGUGGGUAGCAAACAGG
rnacentral:misc_RNA from 1 species